rnacentral:rRNA from 1 species
GACGAACGCUAGCGGCGUGCUUAACACAUGCAAGUCGAACGGAAAGGCCCCCUUGUGGGGUACUCGAGUGGCGAACGGGUGAGUAACACGUGAGUAACCUACCCUUGACUUUGGGAUAACUUCAGGAAACUGGGGCUAAUACCGGAUAGGAGCUCCUGCUGCAUGGUGGGGGUUGGAAAGUUUCGGCGGUUGGGGAUGGACUCGCGGCUUAUCAGCUUGUUGGUGGGGUAGUGGCUCACCAAGGCUUUGACGGGUAGCCGGCCUGAGAGGGUGACCGGCCACAUUGGGACUGAGAUACGGCCCAGACUCCUACGGGAGGCAGCAGUGGGGAAUAUUGCACAAUGGGCGGAAGCCUGAUGCAGCAACGCCGCGUGCGGGAUGACGGCCUUCGGGUUGUAAACCGCUUUCGCCUGCGACGAAGCGUGAGUGACGGUAAUGGGUAAAGAAGCACCGGCUAACUACGUG